rnacentral:rRNA from 1 species
GUGACAGUGGCAAACGGGUGAGUAACGCGUAAGUAACCUGCCCUUAAGUAGGGGAUAACUCUGAGAAAUUGGAGCUAAUACCUUAUGUGGUGAUGGAGGUAAGGCCCCAUCACUAAAGCCCUAGGGCGCUUAAGGAGGAGCUUGCGUCCGAUUAGCUAGUUGGUAGGGUAAUGGCUUACCAAGGCAACGAUCGGUAGCUGGUUUGAGAGGAUGUCCACCACACUGGGAUUGAGAUACGGCCCAGACUCCUACGGGAGGCAGCAGCAAGGAAUAUUGUGCAAUGGGCGAAAGCCUGACACAGCGACGUCGCGUGGGGGAUGAAGGCCUUCGGGUUGUAAACCCCUUUUCUCAGGGAAGAAUAAUGACGGUACCUGAGGAAUAAGUCUCGGCUAACUACGUGCCAGCAGCCGCGGUAAUACGUAGGAGGCUAGCGUUAUCCGGAUUUACUGGGCGUAAAGAGGGCGUAGGCGGCUUUUCAAGUCGGAUGUGAAAUCUCCCGGCUUAACUGGGAGGGAUAAUCCGAUACUGUUGGGCUAGAGGGCAGCAGAGGGAGGUGGAAUUUCCCGGUGUAGUGGUGAAAUGCAUAGAUAUCGGGAGGAACACCAGUGGCGAAGGCGGCCUCCUGGGCUGUUUCUGACGCUGAGGCCCGAAAGCGUGGGGAGCGAACAGAAUUAGAUACUUGUGCCGCUGUAAACGAUGGACACUAGGUAUGGGGAGGACGACCCUCUCUGUCCGAAACUAACGCAUUAUUCCCCCUGGGACUACGGCCGCAAGGCUAAAAUCUCAUAAGAAUUGAGACG